AUCCGCAUAGUAAAUCAGCCAUAUUUUUGAUGUCUGGAUUCAAUGUAUAAAAUAAAUGACCGCUGUUGGGAUGGCGCCUAAUUAUGUCUUCUCCUGGCACUCCUGUGAACAUGUUAGUAGGACGGCAAAUGUAAGCAAUAAGGAAAACAAUUAAUGCAAUUUUUUUCCGCAUACAUUGAGAAUGUCAGCGUUUCAUCUCUGUAUUCAUAAUAUUGAACAGUCACUAGGGUGUGUAAAACGAAACUAUUAGGCCGCAUCAUCCAAGUACAUGUACCAACACUGACAUGUCUGAAUUCAUUUGUGAUUUUAAUAAAAAAUGUAUUUGAGGUUCUCUUCUGGUAAUAGUAUACUGUUAAUCUAUUAUGUCGGUUGAUUGAUUUUGUUUGUAGUUAAACGUCAAGUGACAACUAUUUCAUUCAUGUGCACAAAUCUCUCGACAAAUCUGACGAAUUUGACGAGAUUGUUGGUAGUUUUACCACAUCGUACAUAUCCGGACACUGUACAACUGUACAAUUUUCGUUAGAAUAUUCUGCGGAAAAAGAAUAGUAAAUCCAAUCCAAAUAAGUAGAAUAACAAUGAAAUAUCCAUGUGCAUGUAUAAAUGCGUAAAGUAAAAAUUAUGAAGGGACAGGUAAAAACGGGGAACGAAGUAACGUCGACAAAGAUGUUGAUAUCCCAUGAUAUACGAAUGUUGUUCCGAUGCGUUGGAUAACCCUAAUUUCUAUCCGCCUUCUAAUUAAAAAAAUAUGAUAGCUCUAUGUAAUUGACUAAUGUUUAUAAGAAUAUAUAAAAAUAAAAAAAGAAAGAAUUGUGUUGUUAUUAAUAAUGUCUAGUAGAGUAUAGCGAGUAAAGAAAUUUGCUAUCAGAGGCCUUCUUGGGAAGAACAAUGCGAAUGUUGUUUAUACAUAUUUUAAUAAAGCUCAAGUCUGAUAUGAAAAGUCGCAAAAACGAUAACAUUUCAUAAGCAGACAUGUCCCCAGGUCUGGUCAAUAGCAGACUUGUCCACAGGUCUGGUCAGAAGCAGACCUGUCCACAGGUCUGGUCAGAAGCAGACAGUCACAGGUCUGGUCAGAAGCAGACCUGUCCACAGGUCUGGUCAGGAGCAGACCUGUCCACAGGUCUGGUCUGGGGCAGACCUGUCCUCAGGAC
rnacentral:lncRNA from 1 species